UAGUCAAUGCUCGAAAGAGUGAACUAGCUAACUGAAAUCAAUUAGAAUAAUUGAUAACAUAAGGGAAAAUAAUGAUAUUACCUUAUUAUUAGUGUCGUCCAAAACUGGUGCCAGAAGACUCGGUAAGGCCAGAGACACAAACGUUAAUCGUCUUAAUCAGGCGUAAAGGGUUUGUAGGCGGCUUUAAAAUUUAUAUUAUUGAAUAUAACAAAUAAAUAAAAAAUAAAAGCUAGAAUCAAAUAGAGGAUAUAUUAAAUAAUGCUUAGAGUAGGUCUGAUAUCCUUAGAUACUAAGUAGAAUAUUAAAGGCGAAAGCUUUUUUCCAUUAAUGAUUGACGCUCAGAAACGAAGGUGAGGAAAGGAAAUAGGAUUAGAUACCCAAAUACCCCUCUCUGUCAACGAUGAAUGGUAGUUAUUAAUAUAAAUUAUUAAUGGCAAUGUUAACACGAUAACCAUUCCGCCUUGUGAGUACAACUGCAAAGUUGAAAACAAAAAAAUUAGUCGGUUUCGGAGCAAACGAAGUGAAGCAUGUUAUUUAA
rnacentral:rRNA from 1 species